rnacentral:rRNA from 1 species
AGAAUCAACGCUGGCGGCGUGCCUAACACAUGCAAGUCGAACGAGAAAGUGGAGCAAUCCAUGAGUAAAGUGGCGACCGGGUGAGUAACACGUGACUAACCUACCUUCGAGUGGGGGAUAACCUCGGGAAACCGGGGCUAAUACCGCAUAAUGCCUUCGGGUUAAAGGAGCAAUUCGCUUGAAGAGGGGGUCGCGGCUGAUUAGCUAGUUGGCGGGUAACGGCCCACCAAGGCGAUGAUCGGUAG